CGUAGGGGCGAGCGUUAUCCGGAUUCAUUGGGCGUAAAGCGCGCGCAGGCGGUUGCUCAAGCGGAACCUCUAAUCUCGGGGCUUAACCUCGAGCCGGGUUCCGAACUGGACGACUCGAGUGCGGUAGAGGCAGAUGGAAUUCCCGGUGUAGCGGUGGAAUGCGCAGAUAUCGGGAAGAACACCAACGGCGAAGGCAGUCUGCUGGGCCGUCACUGACGCUGAGGCGCGAAAGCUGGGGGGAGCGAAACAGGAUU
rnacentral:rRNA from 1 species